GGCCAGGGGAACUUCCCUGCUGAGCGCAGACCUCUAAGAGAGCAGUUGGCUCCAUCUAUCACUUCUCCUUUCUUCUGAUGUUCCUUCCCUACAUCUGCAGUCACAGUUCUGGACACAUACCCAGUGACCAGGACUACGGGGCACCUCUCAGACCUGUUUCCCACUUGUUUUCUCACUUGAUAAAUUUCCUUUCCACAGAAGUAAAAAAAGGCACCUAUGCUUCAGCUGCCUUAAGUAUGAUGAACAGUGAUCCUUGAGACCUUUGGGGUAGUGUAGAGGGGAGCCAUAGCAGAGCUGAUCCAUCCCAUAAUUCCACUAGCUACAUCUCCUCUGGACUCUGACUAG
rnacentral:lncRNA from 1 species